GAAAUUAGUUCGUUUUAAAACGUGGCAUAUCGGAAAAUGACGGAUAUAAGUGGAGAAGUACCGCAAAAACGCAGCGGUUGGCAUUGCGUGAUCCGCAGCGGUUUCUCAAGGCGGGCCGUUCCCUUGAUAUUUCACCACCGUCCGUUUCACGGCGGUACACGACUAUCCGAUAGGAUUUUAUUCCUCGGUCGUUUCUAGGUAC